rnacentral:rRNA from 1 species
UAGUCCACGCCGUAAACGAUGAAUGCUAGCCGUCAGGUAGUUUACUAUUUGGUGCGCAGUUAACGGCGAUUAAGCAUUCCGCCUGGGGAGUACGGUCGCAAGAUUAAAACUCAAAUGAAUUGACGGGGGGCCCGCACAAGCGGUGGAGCAUGUGGUUUAAUUCGAUGCAACGCGAAGAACCUUACCAGGUCUUGACAUCCUGAAAACUUUCUAGAGAUAGAUUGGUGCCUUCGGGAAUUCAGUGAUAGGUGCUGCAUGGCUGUCGUCAGCUCGUGUCGUGAGAUGUUGGGUUAAGUCCCGUAACGAGCGCAACCCUUGUCCUUAGUUGCUAGCAGGUAAUGCUGAGAACUCUAAGGAGACUGCCGGUGACAAACCGGAGGAAGGUGGGACGACGUCAAGUCAUCAUGGCCCUUACGACCUGGGGCUACACACGUGCUACAAUGGGCGAGACAAUUUGAUGCGACUCUGCGAAGACAAGC